UGAUCCUCCUGCCUCAGCCUCGAGUAGCUGAGACUACAGGCAGCAUCACGGUCACUGCCGACUUGGCACAGCUGAGCUUCCUCUUGCGGGACAAGCAUCAGGAUUCAGCCCUGACCUGAGGAGCAGGAACCCCAGAAAGGCAAAGGUCUUACCUGGGCUGCACCUGGGAACGGCGGGGUAGGCUGGGCCAGAUGAGGUGGCCUUCCUGUCGAAUAUGGUCCUGCCUGGUGUGUGGGGGACACUGGGACCUGGGGACCUUUAGGGACAGGUGAGCUGCCUGGAGCCCUGUCCAGCUCCUGCCAGAACCAGAUGGGCUGGGUAGGGCUGGUCGGCCCAGUGGUCCCAUCCACUGCAGCCUGCCUUGGCCUCUGGACCCCAGGACUCCCCUCAGAGGCAGGGAGCGCUUGCUGCUGGCCCAGGUGAAUGCAAACCGCUCAGCCCACCUGGCGCUGUGGACCUUGAGGGCUCAGCUGGACGCUGCUCUUGGCCUGCGGGAUCCCAGCUUCUGGGCCGCCAGCUCCACACCAGGCUCAACCACACCGUGCCCGGCCUCAGGCACCAGGGCCUGCCCUCCUUCAUGGAUGGCUGUGGGCCCUUCGGGUGCGUGAGGAGGGGCUGGACCGGCUCCACUUGGGGACGCCCACAGCUCUCUGCUCGAGGGGCAGGACGCCGUCUAGGGGCUGGGCUGACACGAGCCUGGAUGGCAGGCGCCCCCUGCAGCACCAGGGUGGAGGGAGCAGGGCCGAGGGUGACCCCAGUGCCGGGCCUGGGCUGCUGGGUGCCCUGCUGUCCCUGCUGCAGGUGAGUCAGCUUGGUGCCCGUGGGUACCCGGCUGUGGCCGCUUCCUCCAGAUGCCCUUGCUUACCUCCCUGCCCUCCCUGCCCUCCCGUCCACCCGCCUGCUUCCUCUCCUCCUGGCCUCCUCUCUGCACACCUGCCCAGCUUCCUCAUCCGCUCUU